AUGAACGCUGGCGGCGUGCCUAAUACAUGCAAGUCGAGCGAACAGACGAGGAGCUUGCUCCUCUAACGUUAGCGGCGGACGGGUGAGUAACACGUGGAUAACCUACCUAUAAGACUGGGAUAACUUCGGGAAACCGGAGCUAAUACCGGAUAAUAUAUUGAACCGCAUGGUUCAAUAGUGAAAGACGGUUUUGCUGUCACUUAUAGAUGGAUCCGCGCCGCAUUAGCUAGUUGGUAAGGUAACAGCUUACCAAGGCAACGAUGCGUAGCCGACCUGAGAGGGUGAUCGGCCACACUGGAACUGAGACACGGUCCAGACUCCUACGGGAGGCAGCAGUAGGGAAUCUUCCGCAAUGGGCGAAAGCCUGACGGAGCAACGCCGCGUGAGUGAUGAAGGUCUUCGGAUCGUAAAACUCUGUUAUUAGGGAAGAACAAAUGUGUAAGUAACUAUGCACGUCUUGACGGUACCUAAUCAGAAAGCCACGGCUAACUACGUG
rnacentral:rRNA from 1 species